rnacentral:rRNA from 1 species
UACGAAGGGGGCUAGCGUUGCUCGGAAUCACUGGGCGUAAAGGGCGCGUAGGCGGCCGUUCAAGUCGGGGGUGAAAGCCUGUGGCUCAACCACAGAAUUGCCUUCGAUACUGUACGGCUCGAGACCGGAAGAGGUGAGUGGAACUGCGAGUGUAGAGGUGAAAUUCGUAGAUAUUCGCAAGAACACCAGUGGCGAAGGCGGCUCACUGGUCCGGUUCUGACGCUGAGGCGCGAAAGCGUGGGGAGCAAACAGGG